rnacentral:snRNA from 1 species
CCCUUCGACACUUUUCUGA